rnacentral:rRNA from 1 species
UACGUAGGGACCAAGCGUUGUUCGGAUUUACUGGGCGUAAAGGGCGCGUAGGCGGCGUGGUAAGUCACUUGUGAAAUCUCUGAGCUUAACUCAGAACGGCCAAGUGAUACUGCUGUGCUAGAGUGCAGAAGGGGCAAUCGGAAUUCUUGGUGUAGCGGUGAAAUGCGCAGAUAUCAGGAGGAACACCGGUGGCGAAGGCGGGUCUCUGGGCCGAUACUGACGCUGAGGAGCGAAAGCGUGGGGAGCGAACAGG